rnacentral:lncRNA from 1 species
UCGACUUGCAAAAGCCUGCAGAAAAUUCUUCAAGCUGCAACAGGUCAACAUCGUAUCUUCUGAUUUAAUUGAGCAGAAUCGUACUUUUUGUUUUCUAAUUCUUCGUAAAAAUUACAAGGUUACAUAAAACAAUUCGGGACUUUUGACUAGAUUUCGGUAGAUGGAAGCUAUACUUACAACGAACCUAUGGAGGCAAAAAAUGGAUGCGAAUGGAGAGAGAUGCAGCUCCAAGCAAUUACAAAAUCAGCCUGAUUUUCUAGGUGCUGUAUUUGUACUGAUUUUUGAAAAAAAAAAUUGAAAAGUUGAUACUCCAGAUAUUUUUCAUUCAACAUCUGACAGAGAAUGAGAACGUGCACACCAGUGUAAACGGCCAAAAACAAAUAUUCCGAGACAGAGAUAACUGAUAACACUUUUGAAUGGUGGAUGCUCCAUCAUGUUCACUCUUCAACGUGGGCUGGCAAAGGAGUUGCAUGACGUACAUCGGAACGGAUAUGAAGUGAUUUGGGCAGAAAACCAUGGGAACGACAUUCUGGACUGGAGGAAUUUGGAAAUGGAGACACGUGCAUCUAUUUGGGAUACAUGGAUCAGAGAUUCGGGAUUUCCUGAAUGAGCUUUUUUGUCAAGGUAAGAAUUAAGCACCAGUGGUAAAUUGAAGGUAGCCUAUUAGUGAUGGAUUAAGACUCUGUGCAGGUUGCACAACAGCCGGUUAAGUUUUAACCGUGAUUAAUCCCACGAAAACCAAUCAGAGAAGCCGUCUUUUCCACGAGAACCAAUCAGAGAAGCCGUAUUUUCAAAAACGCCUUCUCUGAUUGGUUCUCGUGGAAUUAAUCAUGGUUAAAAUUUGACCGGCUAUUGUGCAACCGGGCCUUGCUGUUUGAGAUGAAUUGUUCAGUUGAGUUGCAAGAGCUCCAUGCUUGGGAAUUUGACUCUUUUUCUGUCAAUAAGACAUAAGUUGUACAUUUAUCAUUAAAUGUAUUUAUAUUAGAUA